AUGCGGUAUGACGGUACCCUUUCCGAAUAAGAGGUUGCUAACUCUGUGCCAGCAGCAGCGGUAAUACAGAGACCUCGAGCGUUAUCCGGAUUUACUGGGCGUAAAGCGUCUGUAGGGGGUUUGUUAAGUUCCAAGUAAAAAUCUUAAGGCUCAACUUUAAGUUCGCUGGGAAAACUAAUAAACCUGGAGUCCAGCAGAGGUGCAUGGAACUUGCGGUGUAGGAGUGAAAUCCGUUGAUAUCGCAAGGAACACCAAAGGCGAAGGCAUUGCACUGGGCUGGUACUGACCCUGAGAGACGAAAGCGUGGGGAGCAAAACGGAUUAGAUACCCGUGUAGUCCACGCCGUAAACGAUGGAUACUAGAUGUUCGGGGAUUCGACCCCCUGGGUGUCACAGCUAACGCGUUAAGUAUCCCGCCUGGGAAGUACGGCCGCAAGGCUAAAACUCAAAGGAAUAGACGGGGAUCCGCACAAGCGGUGGAGCGUCUGGUUUAAUUUGAUAGUAAGCAAUGGACCUCACCAAGGUUUGACAUCCUAUGACAACCCUGGAAACAGGGCUUCCUUCGGGCAUAGUGACAGGUGCUGCAUGGUCGUCGUCAGUUCGUGCCGUGAGGUGUUCCGUUAAGUCGGGAAACGAACGAAACCCUCGUCGCAUGUUACAAAUUUCAUGCGAGACUGCCCGGGUCAACCGGGAGGAAGGCGGGGAUGACGUCAGAUCAGCAUGGCCCUUAUACCUUGGGCUACACAGGCGCUACAAUGGCCGGUACAAAGGGU
rnacentral:rRNA from 1 species